rnacentral:lncRNA from 1 species
AAAAGGAGAAGAAGAAGAAAGAAAUGAAGAAAUAAAGUGCAUUAAAUGAAAUGGUAUGCAUCAAUCAACAAUUGUUGACCAAAGAUAGAGAAGAUCAAGGUCAAACAAUAGAAAACAGAAGUAAAAUGAAUAUUAGAAGUCAAGAAAUAAACAAAGUAUUUUUGGCAUUUUUUAAUAUUUAAAAUAAAACUUGAAUUAAAAUAUUAAAGAAAGGUCAAACUUCAAACUCACUUCAAGUCAACUUUGAAAAGUC